rnacentral:misc_RNA from 1 species
UGAUCAUAACUCGAAAUCUGCUGCCAAGCCAAUGCAAGCCCCACAGAGUUACUCAUCUUCAGCUCCUUAUGUAGGUUCUGGUGCACCUUCUUCAAUGUAUAUGGGUGUGCCACCAUAUGGAUCAUCCCUUUUCAAUGGAUCUUCUUUUGCUCCAUAUGAUGUUGCAUUUCCAGGGGGUUCAGCUUAUCAUUAUAAUUACAG